rnacentral:rRNA from 2 species
UGCAAGUCGAGCGGACAGAUGGGAGCUUGCUCCCUGAAGUCAGCGGCGGACGGGUGAGUAACACGUGGGCAACCUGCCUGUAAGACUGGGAUAACUCCGGGAAACCGGGGCUAAUACCGGAUAAUUCUUUCCCUCACAUGAGGGAAAGCUGAAAGAUGGUUUCGGCUAUCACUUACAGAUGGGCCCGCGGCGCAUUAGCUAGUUGGUGAGGUAACGGCUCACCAAGGCAACGAUGCGUAGCCGACCUGAGAGGGUGAUCGGCCACACUGGGACUGAGACACGGCCCAGACUCCUACGGGAGGCAGCAGUAGGGAAUCUUCCGCAAUGGACGAAAGUCUGACGGAGCAACGCCGCGUGAGUGAUGAAGGUUUUCGGAUCGUAAAACUCUGUUGUUAGGGAAGAACAAGUACCGGAGUAACUGCCGGUACCUUGACGGUACCUAACCAGAAAGCCACGGCUAACUACGUGCCAGCAGCCGCGGUAAUACGUAGGUGGCAAGCGUUGUCCGGAAUUAUUGGGCGUAAAGCGCGCGCAGGCGGUUCCUUAAGUCUGAUGUGAAAGCCCCCGGCUCAACCGGGGAGGGUCAUUGGAAACUGGGGAACUUGAGUGCAGAAGAGAAGAGUGGAAUUCCACGUGUAGCGGUGAAAUGCGUAGAGAUGUGGAGGAACACCAGUGGCGAAGGCGACUCUUUGGUCUGUAACUGACGCUGAGGCGCGAAAG